rnacentral:lncRNA from 1 species
GAGCUGGCGAAGGUCGGCCGCGCUCCGAUCCCCGAGAGCUCCCGCGGGCUGGGCGCGGGACGCCGGGCUAGGCCUUAGCCCCCGGGAUUUAGAGCAUCCUCGCGACCACCUGGAGGUUUCUGGGGGCCACUCUGUGGAUGAGGAAGCUGACGCCUGGGUGCAGAACCCCGGACCCCCGGAUUCAGAGCCCAGGUCCAGCGCGCUUCCGCACAAACUUGCGCCCGGAGCAAGUCCCCUCCUUCCCAGCACUCAUCUGAGACCAGAGGUGUCCCCACCGUCCCCGCGAACAGCCCUGGUCAUAUUAUGGGCCAACCUUUAAAAAAGAAAAAAGAAAAAAAAAAGAAACUGUUAAACCACA